rnacentral:lncRNA from 1 species
GGCAAAAAGACCAAAAAAAAAAAAAAAAAAGAAAGAAACAAAGAUUUGGAGGAUAAAAAGACAUUGCCUGUUAGAAGGAGGAUAAAAGCUUUUUCUUUCCCUUCAUUAAUAAGUACCCUUCACUGAUUUAAUCCAGAAGUGUAUAUUGAGCCACAGCAAUGUGCUGGCCUUUGGUGAGGGGAGAAAGAGGGAAUGCAAAGAUGACUGAAAGAGAGUGCUUAUAAUCAAAAUACCAACAAUCCUUUAGAGAAUAUUAUGAUGAAAAGAUGCAUGUGUAAAUAGCUACAGUGAGUUAGAUUGUGAUAAAUGCAAAAGAGAAGCACAUCAAAAUACUGGGAAGAUUUGGAGGUAGGGUAUAAGAAGCCACAUCUGUUUAUAAGAGAAUCAGGAGAUGAAAUGAGAUGAGUGAACUUUGACACGGAGGUUUGAGAUUGGGUAGGAUUUUGAUAGUUGUAAAGGACAGCAUUAACAAAGACAUGGAAGCAAAUAGCAAGUAAUCUUCAAGUAAUCUUCAGCAUGAGUAUAAAUGGAUGUGAGCAUGAAAUAAAAACUCAAAGUUAUUACUUGGAUGUAGAUCACAGAUAGUCUUGAAAGAUGGAUUAAGAAGCACCUUUCAUAUGUAAUUCAAUAAGAGUGGGAACUACUGUAGUCUUUCAAUGAAAGAAGGGACUGGCAUAGUCCAGAUGGCAUGCAGAUCUGUUUGGUUAGUCAUAUUAGAGUUUGGUUGGCAAAAUGAGGUGAGGAACUUAUUUUGAUAUUCCAAAUGGAAAAUAGGAUCUGGUGUUGCUGUAGCUACUGCGUAGGCCACAGCUGCAGCUCUGAUUCAGUCCCUGGCCUCUGAAUUUCCAUUUGCCGUCAUUGUAGCCAUAAAAAAGAAAGAAAAAGAAAAGAAAGUGAUGAUGGUAUAUGAAUGAGAAUUAAAAGGAAGGAAUGGAUUCAAGCAAGGGAGGUAACUGCUGGCACUGCUGAAGUUGAGAACCAGAAUGGCCAAGGAAAAGAAAAAGAAAAGACAGCAAGGUCAAUGUGAGUUUGAAGUAAUUGUUUUUAAUGUACAUUUGGAUUGAAUUUUAUGGCUCCAAAUGUUUGGGUCUGCUUUUGAGUUGUUUUUUGGAGGCCUCACCUGAAAGGUAAUGGCUGAAUGUUUAGAAAUAGAUGAGAUAGCCAGGGGGCAAGUGAAGGGGCCAGAUGAAUACUGGGGGACACUAGCUACUAAAGAGCAACCUGAGGAGUUCCCUGGUGGCUUAGUGGGUUAAGGAUCUGCUGUUAUGGUGCAGGUUUGAUCCCUGGCCCAGGAACUUCUGCAUACUGUGGACAUGUUCCUCACUCCCACCCCCCAAAAAAAGAACAGCCUGAAAGAUGUGGUGUGUAGAAGCCAAGUAAGCAAAGAUUCUCCAGGAGGAAGGACUGUACACUGUUUUUUUUGUUUGUUUGUUUGUUUUUGGUUUUUUUUUUGUUUUUGUUUUGUUUUGUUUUUGUCUUUUGUCUUUGUUGUUGUUGUUGUUGUUGUUGCUAUUUCUUGGGCCGCUCCCGCGGCAUAUGGAGGUUGCAGACUUGGCUCGGACCCCACAUUGCUGUGGCUGUGGCAUAGGCCAGUGGCUACUGUUCGAUUCAGCCCCUGGCAGAACUUCCAUAUGCCAUGGUUGUGGCCCUAAAAAGACCAAAAAAAAAAAAAAAAAAAAAAAAAA